GAUGAACGCUGGCGGCGUGCCUAAUACAUGCAAGUCGAGCGAACAGACGAGGAGCUUGCUCCUUUGACGUUAGCGGCGGACGGGUGAGUAACACGUGGGUAACCUACCUAUAAGACUGGGAUAACUUCGGGAAACCGGAGCUAAUACCGGAUAAUAUUUCGAACCGCAUGGUUCGAUAGUGAAAGAUGGCUCUGCUAUCACUUAUAGAUGGACCUGCGCCGUAUUAGCUAGUUGGUAAGGUAACGGCUUACCAAGGCAACGAUACGUAGCCGACCUGAGAGGGUGAUCGGCCACACUGGAACUGAGACACGGUCCAGACUCCUACGGGAGGCAGCAGUAGGGAAUCUUCCGCAAUGGGCGAAAGCCUGGCGGAGCAACGCCGCGUGAGUGAUGAAGGUCUUCGGAUCGUAAAACUCUGUUAUGAGGGAAGAACAAACGUGUAAGUAACUGUGCACGUCUUGACGGUGCCUAAUCAGAAAGCCACGGCUAACUACGUG
rnacentral:rRNA from 1 species